rnacentral:rRNA from 1 species
UACAGAGGUCCCAAGCGUUUGUUCGGAUUCACUGGGCGUAAAGGGUGCGCAGGUGGGUUGGCAAGUUCGAUGUGAAAGCCCCGGGCUUAACCCGGGAAUGGCAUUGGAUACUGUUGAUCUGGAGGGUCGGGAGGGGGGGACUGGAAUUCUUGGUGUAGCAGUGAAAUGCGUAGAUAUCAAGAGGAACACCAGUGGCGAAGGCGAGUCCCUGGACGAUACCUGACACUGAGGCACGAAAGCCAAGGGAGCAAACAGG